GGAAGAGACGGAGUCGACAAUAACAAACCAAGCCGCGGCGGUGUCCGCGGCCCUGCCGAGCCCUCGGCGUUGCCUCAGAAUCCCCCAGUCGCCUGGGCCCCUCGGCUCUGACAGGCCGCGGCCUUCUGUCCCCCGGCCCCAGACCCAGAGCCGAGGGGCCUGCUCGCGUCCUUGUCCGCCCGGACCCCUCCCUGCCUCCUAGAGUUCGGGGCCGCGGCGGGCGGGCGCCCGGGACGCCGGCGGUUGUGUCGGCUUAGCGGUGCCGAAUGGGCGGUUGGUAACCGCUGCCGAGGACUAGGCGGCGGCGGAAGAUGGUGCCGGGGGUCGCUGGCUCUGCUGCUGCCGCCGGCGAAGGAGGAGGCGUUGCCGGUUUUCUGAGUUUAACCAGUAAUGCCAUUCAGUUGCCAAUCUCAAGCAAAGCAAACAUAAGCCAGUUUUAAUCUACUUUUUAAGAAAAGUGGUAGUCCUUUUCACAGUGCCUGACGACCUGUACACUUGCUACUGUUACACAAAGUGAUGGAACUAUUAAGGAGGAUUUCUUGCUCAGUGUAGAGGUGAAAAGCAGUUCAACAGGCAGCUGAUGGAAGUGAUGGAACUAUUAUGGAGGAUUUCUAGCUCAGUGUAGAGGUGAAACACAGAUGAUGGAAGGAAUUGGGAUUCAUUUCCCCUAAUUUGCAAGUAACGGCUACUCUUAAUUUGCGAUUAUAACUGUAUCAGAGGGUGAGGUAUAAGCUCACAGAAUUCAGAUAAAUCAUCAUGAAGUUAUAUGUAUUUCUGGUUAACACUGGAACUACUCUAACAUUUGACACUGAACUUACAGUGCAAACUGUGGCAGACCUUAAGCAUGCCAUUCAAAGCAAAUACAAGAUUGCUAUUCAACACCAGGUGCUG
rnacentral:lncRNA from 1 species